rnacentral:rRNA from 1 species
UACGGAGGGGGCAAGCGUUGUUCGGAAUUACUGGGCGUAAAGGGCGCGCAGGCGGCUGCUCAAGUCAGGCGUGAAAGGCCUGGGCUCAACCCGGGAAUUGCGCUUGAGACUGGGCUGGCUUGAGUGCGGGAGAGGAUGGUGGAAUUCCCAGUGUAGAGGUGAAAUUCGUAGAUAUUGGGAAAGAACACCGGUGGCGAAGGCGGCCAUCUGGACCGCAACUGACGCUGAGGCACGAAAGCGUGGGGAGCAAAC